rnacentral:rRNA from 1 species
UACGUAGGGGGCAAGCGUUGUCCGGAUUUAUUGGGCGUAAAGAGCGUGUAGGCGGCUUGGUAGGUCCGCUGUGAAAACUCGAGGCUCAACCUCGAGAUGUCGGCGGAAACCACUUGGCUAGAGUCCGGAAGAGGAGAGUGGAAUUCCUGGUGUAGCGGUGAAAUGCGCAGAUAUCAGGAGGAACACCUAUGGCGAAGGCAGCUCGCUGGGACGGUACUGACGCUGAGGCGCGAAAGCGUGGGGAGCGAACAGG